rnacentral:rRNA from 1 species
UACGGGGGGAGCAAGCGUUGUUCGGAAUUACUGGGCGUAAAGGGCGCGUAGGCGGCCUGUUAAGUCGAACGUGAAAUCCCUGGGCUCAACCCAGGAACUGCGUCCGAUACUGGCAGGCUUGAAUUCGGGAGAGGGAUGCGGAAUUCCAGGUGUAGCGGUGAAAUGCGUAGAUAUCUGGAGGAACCCCGGUGGCGAAGUCGGCAUCCUGGACCGAUAUUGACGCUGAGGCGCGAAAGCCAGGGGAGCAAACGGG